UACGUAGGGUGCAAGCGUUGUCCGGAAUCAUUGGGCGUAAAGAGCUCGUAGGCGGUCUGUCGCGUCUGUUGUGAAAACCUGGGGCUUAACCCUGGGCUUGCAGUGGGUACGGGCAGACUAGAGUGCGGUAGGGGAGACUGGAAUUCCUGGUGUAGCGGUGAAAUGCGCAGAUAUCAGGAGGAACACCGGUGGCGAAGGCGGGUCUCUGGGCCGUAACUGACGCUGAGACGCGAAAGCGUGGGGAGCGAACAGG
rnacentral:rRNA from 1 species